rnacentral:rRNA from 1 species
CCUACGGGAGGCUGCAGUGGGGAAUAUUGGACAAUGGGGGCAACCCUGAUCCAGCCAUGCCGCGUGUGUGAAGAAGGCCCUCGGGUUGUAAAGCACUUUCAGUGAGGAAGAACGCCUGGUGGUUAAUACCCAUCAGGAAAGACAUCACUCACAGAAGAAGCACCGGCUAACUCCGUGCCAGCAGCCGCGGUAAUACGGAGGGUGCGAGCGUUAAUCGGAAUUACUGGGCGUAAAGCGCGCGUAGGUGGCUUGAUAAGCCGGUUGUGAAAGCCCCGGGCUCAACCUGGGAUCGGCAUCCGGAACUGUCAAGCUAGAGUGCAGGAGAGGAAGGUAGAAUUCCCGGUGUAGCGGUGAAAUGCGUAGAGAUCGGGAGGAAUACCAGUGGCGAAGGCGGCCUUCUGGACUGACACUGACACUGAGGUGCGAAAGCGUGGGUAGCAAACAGGAUUAGAUACCCUGGUAGUC